GUCAGUGUGGCCGAGUGGUUAAGGCGGUAGAUUCGAAUCCUCCUGCUUCAGGAAAUCGAUAAUCUACUGGGUUCGCCCGCGCCAGUUCGAAUCUGGUCGCUGACG